AGUGAGCGCUGGCGGUAGGCCUAACACAUGCAAGUCGAACGGGAGCACAGUAAGAGCUUGCUCUUACGGGUGGCGAGUGGCGGACGGGUGAGGAAUACAUCGGAAUCUACUUUUUCGUGGGGGAUAAUGUAGGGAAACUUAAGCUAAUACCGCAUACGACCUACGGGUGAAAGCAGGGGAUCUUCGGGCCUUGGGCGAGUGAAUGAGCCGAUGUCGGAUUAGCUAGUUGGCGGGGUAAAGGCCCACCAAGGCGACGAUCCGUAGCUGGUCUGAGAGGGUGAUCAGCCACCCUGGAACUGAGACACGGUCCAGACUCCUACAGGAGGCAGCAGUGGGGAAUAUUGGACAAUGGGCGCAAGCCUGAUCCAGCCAUACCGCGUGGGUGAAGAAGGCCUUCUGGUUGUAAAGCCCUUUUGUUGGGAAAGAAAAGCAGCAGGUUAAUACCCCGCUGUUCUGACGGUACCCAAAGAAUAAGCACCGGUUAACUUCGUG
rnacentral:rRNA from 1 species